CUCCGCUGAACCAAUCAAAACGAAUCAACAAAUUUUAGGUGUAAAUACUUAUGACAAAGUAUCUGCUACAAUCCCAAUCGGCUGGAAGACAAACGGCCAGCGUGUGGGAACCAUAUCAAUCGUGGCGGAAAUCAGUCCAAGGUUUGAAAUUGGUUUCCAAUCGGAUCAAAAAAUCGAAUUUAUUUAACUGAAGUUUUGGUCAACUAUGCAUUCGAUGGCAUCGAUGAGUUGGAGCUUAGAGGUUCGAACUUGGCAAAUAAAGAUUUCACUCACAACUCUAAAUAUCCAUAAAAUAUUCAGUCGAUGCACAAAAAUGUAACAGUGGAAUCCUAAAAAUUCUGAGGUCACCACGACCUUCCAAAAAUAAUAACAGCAUACUUGUUUA